rnacentral:rRNA from 1 species
AGUGAACGCUGGCGGUAGGCCUAACACAUGCAAGUCGAACGGCAGCACAGUAAGAGCUUGCUCUUACGGGUGGCGAGUGGCGGACGGGUGAGGAAUACAUCGGAAUCUACUUUUUCGUGGGGGAUAACGUAGGGAAACUUACGCUAAUACCGCAUACGACCUACGGGUGAAAGCAGGGGAUCUUCGGACCUUGCGCGAUUGAAUGAGCCGAUGUCGGAUUAGCUAGUUGGCGGGGUAAAGGCCCACCAAGGCGACGAUCCGUAGCUGGUCUGAGAGGAUGAUAAGCCACACUGGAACUGGGACACGGUCCAGACUCCUAAGGGAGGCAGCAGUGGGGAAUAUUGGACAAUGGGCGGAAGCCUGAUCCAGCCAUACCGCGUGGGUGAAGAAGGCCUUCGGGUUGUAAAGCCCUUUUGUUGGGAAAGAAAAGCAGCAGGUUAAUACGCCGCUGUUCUGACGGUACCCAAAGAAUAAGCACCGGCUAACUUCGUG